rnacentral:rRNA from 1 species
CGUAGGGUGCAAGCGUUAAUCGGAAUUACUGGGCGUAAAGCGUGCGCAGGCGGUUUGUAAGUUUGUCGUGAAAUCCCCGGGCUUAACCUGGGAAUUGCGAUGAAGACUGCAAGGCUAGAAUCUGGCAGAGGGGGUAGAAUUCCACGUGUAGCAGUGAAAUGCGUAGAGAUGUGGAGGAACACCGAUGGCGAAGGCAGCCCCCUGGGUCAAGAUUGACGCUCAUGCACGAAAGCGUGGGAGCAAACAGGAUU